UACAGAGGUCCCGAGCGUUGUUCGGAUUCAUUGGGCGUAAAGGGUGCGUAGGUGGCGCUGUAAGUGGGGUGUGAAAUCCCGGGGCUUAACCCCGGAAUUGCACCUCAAACUACAUGGCUAGAGCAUUGGAGAGGGUAGCGGAAUUCACGGUGUAGCAGUGAAAUGCGUAGAUAUCGUGAGGAACACCCGUGGCGAAGGCGGCCCUCUGGCUCGACCCUGACGCUGAGGCGACGAACGAAGCGUGGGGAGCGAACAGG
rnacentral:rRNA from 1 species